rnacentral:lncRNA from 1 species
AAUUGAUCAAUGUACUAAAGUUCAUAGUUUUAAUAACUAUACAUGUAUGUUUUAAUUUUUAAUUUUUAACGAAAAGAAGUAUAUUUUGUUUUAUUUAAAAGAAAAUUAAAAGUCUACAUAGUUGAUAAAAAAAAGAACCAUGAAUGUCUAAAGAAACAAAAUCUAAAACUCCUAUUUGUAUAAGUGUUAAGUUUAUUUGGAGUUCAUAAAUAAUUUAUGAAAAAAAUUAUAUAUCUACCAGAUUUAGAUAAUUUUUUUCUUGAAAAAAAAUAAAAAAUGGCCACUAUAAAUUAAGUAUUCUUCCUUUCUACAACAAUACAAUGGUAUCUACAAUGAAUGUUUUGACAAAAUUUUUGACUUUCCUAGAAAGUCGCCACUUAAUUUUUGAAAAAAGGAAUUAAGAAACUUUUAUAAAAUACUUAGACGAUUCAAAACAGGAAAAUCGUUUAAGAUAGAGAUUUUAAGUAAGUGAUUCCUAUUAAUGUUUUAGGAAGGUGUUAGGCACCUAAAACGUCCGCAAACUUGCGGUUAUCCGGACUAUUUGAAAAUUGUCUUUGACUAACUUUGAAAGAAUUUUAUUUUUUGAAAAGAAAGUAAUUUUAGAGAUAUUUGGGUGGUUAUGCAAAAAUCAGUUUUUUAGUGACUUGACUAAGAAAUUAACUAGGUUCGCAAAACACAUAAGACAAACAAGCAUAAAGAAAAAAGGGAAGAGGAGGAAGAGUAAGAGAUUUCGGUCAUUGGGCCCAAAUCAAUAAGACCUGUCCUAGUCUAAUUGGACCUUCCACCCAUUUCACCUGUCCUAAUCUAGCUUUUGAGCCUUUGGCUUGAAUCUCGAUCCACCUAUAUUAAAUUUACAUCUUUGACUUCGAGGCCAAAAUAAAUAAUUAAAUAAAUAAAUAAAUAAAUACAACAACCAUAAAUAAAUAACAACGGCAAAUAAAUAAAUAGAAAUGAGACUUGGGUCUCGUCGUCGCUUCAAGAAUGGGACUUUAUUAUUCUUCUUCAGACUCCUUAUCUACGCACUAUGAGAUUGUCUCCUUAUGACCUUCGAAAUCGACUCAUGAGGGAUAGGCCUCAAUGGCCCACAUUGAUAAUGCAACAAUGGGAAUAGAGUCCGUUUGGACUCAAAGACGGGUUCAUGCAAAGAAAAGGGGAAGGAAGAUAAGGAGUAGGAAAUAACUCAACUAAAAAUAAUUUAGAAAGGAAUUUUAAUCAAUACAUGAACACUGCAACAUGGCAACCAAUGGUUCAAUUCAUAUCGACAUAGUAGUAAUUUCAUUCAACAUGCAGGAAACCAUCUAGAUGUAGUGCUUGGCAGAACAUUAAAACAUAUUUGGCAUUCAUUAGUCUAACAAUAAUGUCAUAAAACCAAAAGAAAGGAAAACAUUAAGACAAAAUGAACCACGUUCAGCAGAAGAAAUCUCCUUAAUCUAACAUAGGUUUAAUUGCACCAAGCUUAUGGAACAGGAAAACAACACAUAAUUUAGACAUUACAUGACUUUCUAUUUCAAUACCAAGGAGAACUCGCAACAGAGGAUCAACUGAAUAAUCUCAAUGGUAAUGUUUGUCAAAGAAGACAUUUGUACUAAUGUUUUCAUAACUAGGAAGGUAAAGCCAUACGAGCAAUGAUACUUGUAACAAUUACACCUUUGGCAGCAAUAAAAAAAGAAAGCGUCCUUACUUAUACGUUCUAGAAACUAGAUGCAUUCACACAUAGGUAGAUGGUCGAAAACUUUGAAUCUGGGAGCAUCUUAACAAACCAAAUUGUCGAUAAUCUUUAAAGAUUCAUUAAUCAAUACGUAUGUGCAAGGAUAAAGGAGAGCAAGAAACAAGUUAAAGUCGGAUCCUAUCUUAUCAUCCAUUAUCAGAUUUGAGCAAAUCUACAGUCAAUGAUGGAAAAUAGGGGAACAUAUUUGUUUUAAAUUUGGCAUUAUAAACACAUAACCGUUAAAAAGACAGGAUGAGCAUGGAACCAGUCAGAAAAAAGGGAAAAGAAAACAACAACGAUAACAAUAAUAUUUUGUACAAUGUACAAGCAGGAGAUCGACGAUCAACCUCUCCCCUAAUCAUAUGAGAACAUUAGCAGGCAAUGUUUCACUCUAAAAAAAAAGAUUCUUGAUGCAGGUAGGGGCAGAAAGAAUGAAACGACAUUAUAGCGGAUUUUAAUAGAGACCAAAACCAAAUAAAAAUCAACCAGCUUUCAUCACAGCCUAUGGCUUUCAACGUCUCUACAACAGCUAAUCCCAGCACGCAAGAAAGAGUUAAAUUACCAUUUACUACUUCAAAAGCGAAGACGAGACAAAAUCAAGAUAGCGACGACAAACAAAACAACGUCAAAUACUAACCAUGAACAAGACACCAUCAGCCCUAAGCUACUAGACAAAGUCAAAGCAUGAAACUUUACUACGAAACCAGCUAUUCAAGAUAUUAGCAGCCCAAAACGAAAUCAAAGCAUGAAACUUUACUAUAAAGUCAGCUAUAACAAUAUACAAGCAGCCUAAAACUACCCAACAAAAUCAAAGUAUGAAACUUUAUCCUCGAUAUUAGCAUUCAAGACACAGGAAGUAGCUAACAAUAUCAAGAUUAAAUGACAAAAUUAAUGUCGAGGCAGAGAUAACAGAAAUCACCCAUCAAACGACUCAAAACAAGCAUUAAUCCAACGUAACAAUAAUUCAACACUUGCUUCAUUCAGAGAAACCUAUAGCCUUUAAGGCCUCUACAGCAGACAACCCAGCACAUCCUAUCACUAAAAGAAACCUACAACUUCAGAAGGUUGAGAUGAAGUAUAAAUCGUCAAAAACUCAAACGAAAAAGGAUAUUACCUAUUCGGGAGCAGCAAAACAGGGCUACGAGAUGGCGUUAGACUCCACCACCACUGGAAAGUUCAACGCCUCGACUCCGAAAAGCUUCGAGCAGUCGUCGACCAAAGAGCUUAUACUAAAAUAUGCUAUGUUUCUUUUCUUCCGAAACUUUUCCCCUAGUUGUCGAACUCAACUUUUCUCAGGAAGAUCUUUUUUCACACUAAAAUUUCUAAACCAAGAAUUUCCAACCCCCAGCGAAAAAUCCCCCCCAACCCAGCUCAACAGUGCGCUCUUUAUAUAGAAGCCAAUUUGAGGGUAAUUUAGGAAUUUCUUUUCCAAAAGGAAUUCAAAAUUUGAACUCAAAUUGAAUUACCCCCCAACAAAUUAUACCAAUUUGUUGUUUUUUCUUGGAUAAUUCGGUAUGGGUGGACCAAUAGGAUUUGGGAAAAAUGAGUUCCAUCAAGAACCAAUAGAAAUCCACCAAAUAUGUACGAAAUCGUACCCUUAUCCCGAGAUUCGUGAAAUUGAGCCGUUGGGGGUGACACCUAGCUUGUUUUAGAAGACUCGAGAUUUUUUGAUGGUGCGUAAUCGCGGGUUUAGGUCAGAUUUCGCUUGUGUUGGAGCUGUUUGUUGAUGGAGACGGGUCGAAGCUGGUUCGGGUAGGGUUCGUUCGGAUUUGGAUUGAGAGUUGCUGAUGUUUUUUGUACGCUGAUUUUUGUGUUCUUGUGUGUAUAUUGUUGUUGUUUGUUGAAGAAGAGAAAAUGGGCCGGGGUUGGAUUAAUUAAUUGGUGGGCUGGUGUGGUUAAGAAUGGGCUGCUGAUUAGUUCUAUGUGGCCCAAUGUAAAAUAAAUAGGGGUAGAAAUUUGAUAAUUUUAAAAAUGAC